UUGUUGUUGAAGAAUAAUGGAUAGUUUUUGAAUACUAAGAAGUGACUCUGUAGAAUAAAUCAGAGAUUGAUUUAUCAGUUAUUGAUUAUGUAAUUGGAGUAUUGAGUGAUUGAAUUAUAUGAAAAGUUAUUAGAAGAUUGAUUAUGGAUGGAAGAUUAUGAUUGUUGUUUAUUGAGAGUUGUAUGUGUGUGUUUCAACAGAAGAAGUCUGUGAUUACAGGAAUUAUAUGAAUUCAGAUUGGUUGGAGUGAAGUUUGUAAUAUGUGGUGUUGGAUGGAAUUUAUUGAAUUUUGAGCGGUCUUUUGAAAGUGCAGGAUUCCACAUUGUGGUUAUCAGUUGAUGAAGGAGUAUUGUUACUGGGAGGAAGCAUUGUAGUAUUUCUUAGUAUUUUAGUGGUUUGGAAU
rnacentral:lncRNA from 1 species